rnacentral:rRNA from 1 species
GGUAACGGCUCACCAAGGCAUCGAUGGGUAGGGGUUCUGAGAGGAAGGUCCCCCACAUUGGAACUGAGACACGGUCCAAACUCCUACGGGAGGCAGCAGUGAGGAAUAUUGGUCAAUGGACGAAAGUCUGAACCAGCCAAGUAGCGUGCAGGAAGACGGCCCUCUGGGUUGUAAACUGCUUUUAGUUGGGAAUAAAAAGAGGGACGUGUCCCUUAUUGUAUGUACCAUCAGAAAAAGGACCGGCUAAUUCCGUGCCAGCAGCCGCGGUAAUACGGAAGGUCCAGGCGUUAUCCGGAUUUAUUGGGUUUAAAGGGAGCGCAGGCGGCGGCGUAAGUCAGUUGUGAAAUCGUGCGGCUUAACCGUGCAAUUGCAGUUGAUACUGCGUCGCUUGAGUGCACACAGGGAUGUUGGAAUUCAUGGUGUAGCGGUGAAAUGCUUAGAUAUCAUGAAGAACUCCGAUCGCGAAGGCAUAUGUCCGGAGUGCAACUGACGCUGAGGCUCGAAAGUGUGGGUAUCAAACAGGAUUAGAUACCCUGGUAGUCCACACAGUAAACGAUGAAUACUCGCGGUUGGUUCGUUAGAGUCAGCCGCCAAGCGAAAGCGUUAAGUAUUCCACCUGGGGAGUACG